rnacentral:misc_RNA from 1 species
UGAUAUUUCUACUUUGAAUCUGUAGAGGGCUUGGCCAGCUGAUGGUCUCACAUUCUCCGAAAUCCUACCAUACUUCAACUUUUCUCCAUUCUGAUGCCGCCAAGCUACUAUUUCUCCAGCAUAAAAUGGUCUUAAUGGGUGAAAUUGUACUUGUAAAGCAUCUUGGGGUAGUAUAUCCAUGCCAAGAAGACCAUCUUUGUCACUUCUGAAUCCAUUAGCUUGCAUAUGAGAACUAAGUUUCAAGAUAUCGACAAGGGCAGUCUCAGAGCCCUCGGGACAAAGGAAUAGAGAGCCUAUUGGCAAUGGGACGGGGAAGUCUAACACCCUGCUCACAGCAGUCGCUAUCACAUCAGCAAUAGAGACAUAGUCUGGUGGUUCAGCGAUCAACACAGAAGAUUUAGACGGUUCAACAAAGUAAAGAGCCCGGUGACGUGAUGUAUCCUUCCACUCUGGGAACAUCGAUUCCGGUCUAACUCGAGUGAUAUCCAAA